UACAGAGGGUGCAAGCGUUGUUCGGAAUUAUUGGGCGUAAAGCGCGUGUAGGCGGCUUUGCAAGUCGGGUGUGAAAGCCCUCAGCUCAACUGAGGAAGUGCGCCCGAAACUGCAUGGCUUGAGUACCGGAGAGGAUGGUGGAAUUCCCCAAGUAGAGGUGAAAUUCGUAGAUAUGGGGAGGAACACCGGUGGCGAAGGCGACCAUCUGGACCAUUACUGACGCUGAGGUGCGAAAGCGUGGGGAGCAAACAGG
rnacentral:rRNA from 1 species